rnacentral:snRNA from 14 species
GGAUGUGAGGGCGUUCUGGCUGUGACAUCUGUCACCCUAUUGAUCGCCAGGGUUGAUUCGGCUGAUCUGGCUGGCUAGGCAGGUGUCCCCUUCCUCCCUCACCGCUCCAUGUGCGUCCCUCCCGAAGCUGUACGCUCAGUCAAAGAGGACAACCUUCCCCGAUAGGGGGGGAGAAAAGAAAUCUCGUGUACCCUUUGCCCCAUUUCCCCUGGUGGUAAUGUCUUGCAAAACUAUAGUACAGUAU